GAUGAAGAACGUAGCGAAAUGCGAUACUUGGUGUGAAUUGCAGAAUCCCGUGAACCAUCGAGUCUUUGAACGCAAGUUGCGCCCGAAGCCGUCAGGCCGAGGGCACGCCUGCCUGGGCGUCACACGCCGUUGCCCCCCCGCGCCCCGCACCCAACUCUUUGGGAGCGACCGCGGGGCGGGCUGAUGAUGGCCUCCCGUGCGCUCCGCCGCGCGGUUGGCCCAAAUACCGAGUCCCCGGCGACGUGCGCCACGACGAUCGGUGGUUGAGAGACCUCGGUCGCAAGUCGUGCGCGCCCGUCGCGUCACGCGGGCUCGCAUAGCGCCUCGCGCCGCACCCGGUGCGGAGCUUUCAACGCGACCCCAGGUCAGGCGGGGUUACCCGCUGAAUUUAAGCAUAUCAAUAAGCGGAGGA
rnacentral:misc_RNA from 1 species